rnacentral:rRNA from 1 species
UGGGGAAUAUUGGACAAUGGGCGAAAGCCUGAUCCAGCCAUGCCGCGUGUGUGAAGAAGGUCUUCGGAUUGUAAAGCACUUUAAGUUGGGAGGAAGGGCAGUAAGCGAAUACCUUGCUGUUUUGACGUUACCGACAGAAUAAGCACCGGCUAACUCUGUGCCAGCAGCCGCGGUAAUACAGAGGGUGCAAGCGUUAAUCGGAAUUACUGGGCGUAAAGCGCGCGUAGGUGGUUCGUUAAGUUGAAUGUGAAAGCCCCGGGCUCAACCUGGGAAAUGCAUCCAAAACUGGCGAGCUAGAGUAGGGCAGAGGGUGGUUGAAUUUCCUGUGUAGCGGUGAAAUGCGUAGAUAUAGGAAGGAACACCAGUGGCGAAGGCGACCACCUGGGCUCAUACUGACACUGAGGUGCGAAAGCGUGGGGAGCAAACAGG